GGGCGGUUAACUCAGCGGGAGAGUGCCACGUUGACAUCGUGGAAGUCGCCAGUUCAAUCCUGGCAUCGCCCAUCA
rnacentral:tRNA from 1 species